rnacentral:rRNA from 1 species
AUUGAACGCUGGCGGCAGGCCUAACACAUGCAAGUCGAACGAGUGGCGGACGGGUGAGUAAUGUCUGGGAAACUGCCUGAUGGAGGGGGAUAACUACUGGAAACGGUAGCUAAUACCGCAUACCAUCGGAUGUGCCCAGAUGGGAUUAGCUAGUAGGUGGGGUAAAGGCUCACCUAGGCGACGAUCCCUAGCUGGUCUGAGAGGAUGACCAGCCAAAAUGGAACUGGGACACGGUGCAGACUCCUACGGAAGGCAGCAGGGGGGAAGAUUGCACAAUGGGCGCAAGCCUGAUGCAGCCAUGCCGCGUGUAUUAAGAAGGCCUUCGAGUUGUAAAGUACUUUCAGCGGGGAGGCGUUACCCGCAGAAGAAGCACCGGCUAACACCGUGCCAGCAGCCGCGAUAAUAC